UUUUAUUUCACAAGUUAAAGCAGCAAAAUUAGUCCAGAAAUGAACUUGGUUUUCAUCGCAGUUUUGUUCUUGCCUGAUUUCUCCAUUUCUGCUGUGAACUUCCAGCAGCUUCCAUCUGUGUUCGUCAGAGACGGCGAUGAGAGCGUGACCCUCUGGUGCGACCAGGACAAUAAUCAGAAUUACUACAUGUUCUGGUACAGACACCCGGCGGGCAGUGGGAAAAUGGAGCUGGUCGCAUAUUCUGUAGGUAAAGACGCCGCGGCCGUGGAAGAUCCUUUCAGCAAGACCAAAUACACCAUGACCCGUCCAGAAGUGCUCAGAACCUCCCUGCAGAUCCACUCUCCUGAGGCUGCAGACUCUGCCGUGUACUACUGCGCUUCCAGUCUAGCACAGUGCUUCAGGCUGCCUCAGCCGCCUAACAACAACCUCAGGAGGAGGCAACGACCAGACCAGGGAGGGAAAACACUGAAAAACCUCAAUGCAACAGAGUGACAUGAGGUACUAUUUGAAGAAUACUGGCCUGAAAACAAAGCAAACUUUUAGAAACUCAUAGGAUGAUGUAUGGGUAUUGCACUCUUUUGUGGUGAGACGGUUACCAUCCUCACUUUUUGUAAAGU